rnacentral:rRNA from 1 species
UACGUAGGGCGCAAGCGUUGUCCGGAAUUAUUGGGCGUAAAGAGCUCGUAGGCGGUUUGUCGCGUCUGUCGUGAAAGCCCACGGCUUAACCGUGGGUCUGCGGUGGAUACGGGCAGACUAGAGGCAGGUAGGGGAGAAUGGAAUUCCCGGUGUAGCGGUGAAAUGCGCAGAUAUCGGGAGGAACACCAGUAGCGAAGGCGGCCCUCUGGACCAGCACUGACGCUGAGGCACGAAAGCGUGGGGAGCAAACAGG